rfam:Stegodyphus mimosarum contig59955, whole genome shotgun sequence.
GCCUUCGUGGUGUAGUGGUCUGCAUAAUCGACGCGUAACCGAGAGGUCCAUGGUUCGAUUCCCGGCGAAGGCG